rnacentral:rRNA from 1 species
CGGGGGGGGGGGCAAGCGUUGUUCGGAAUUACUGGGCGUAAAGGGCGCGUAGGCGGACCAGACAGUCUUUCGUGAAAUCCCACGGGCUCAACCGUGGAACUGCGGGAGAUACUACUGGCCUUGAGUUCGGGAGAGGAGUGUGGAAUUCCCAGUGUAGCGGUGAAAUGCGUAGAUAUUGGGAGGAACACCGGUGGCGAAGGCGGCACUCUGGACCGAUACUGACGCUGAGGCGCGAAAGCUAGGGGAGCAAACGGGAUUAGAUACCCCGGUAGUCCUAGCUGUAAACGAUGAGCACUUGGUGUAGCGGGUAUCGACCCCUGCUGUGCCGGAGUUAACGCAUUAAGUGCUCCGCCUGGGGAGUACGGUCGCAAGGCUG